UACGGAGGGUGCAAGCGUUGUCCGGAAUCACUGGGCGUAAAGGGCGCGUAGGCGGCUCAUGAAGGCUGUGGUGAAAGUCCGGGGCUCAACCUCGGAUCGGCCGUGGCGACUCGUGGGCUGGAGCACUGUAGAGGCGGGUGGAAUUCCGGGUGUGGCGGUGGAAUGCGUAGAGAUCCGGAAGAACACCAGUGGCGAAGGCGGCCCGCUGGGCAGUGGCUGACGCUGAGGCGCGACAGCGUGGGGGAGCAAACAGG
rnacentral:rRNA from 1 species